rnacentral:misc_RNA from 1 species
AAGUCGUAACAAGGUUUCCGUAGGUGAACCUGCGGAAGGAUCAUUAACACGUAUCCAAACGUUAAACCUGUGAACCUUCAGUCGUACUCGUACGUCCGUUAGAAAAAGCAGCAAUCCCUGGUAAAUCAUCGCCGAACAGUUUUCGAUUCGCCUGGCAUCCCCAAGCAGUUAGUGUCUGAAAGUGUCACUAACGUUAGUGUCUGAAAGUGUCACUAACAUGUGUAAGGAUGACUAUCUAUGGUGAUCCUGCGGGAAGUCCUGCGGUCGAACGCCGAAACCGAACAACUGUUAACAAUGGAUAUCUUGGUUCUC